rnacentral:rRNA from 1 species
UACGAAGGGUGCAAGCGUUGUUCGGAAUUACUGGGCGUAAAGCGCGCGCAGGCGGCUACCCAAGUCAGUGGUGAAAGCCCGGAGCUCAACUCCGGAACUGCCAUUGAAACUGUUUAGCUUGAGUAUGAGAGAGGUGAGUGGAAUUCCCAGUGUAGAGGUGAAAUUCGUAGAUAUUGGGAAGAACACCGGUGGCGAAGGCGGCUCACUGGCUCAUUACUGACGCUCAGGCGCGACAGCGUGGGGAUCAAACAGG